CCUACGGGAGGCAGCAGUGAGGAAUAUUGGUCAAUGGACGAGAGUCUGAACCAGCCAAGUAGCGUGAAGGAUGACUGCCCUAUGGGUUGUAAACUUCUUUUAUAUGGGAAUAAAACAGGGUAUGCAUACCCUCUUGUAUGUACCAUAUGAAUAAGGAUCGGCUAACUCCGUGCCAGCAGCCGCGGUAAUACGGAGGAUCCGAGCGUUAUCCGGAUUUAUUGGGUUUAAAGGGAGCGUAGGUGGAUUGUUAAGUCAGUUGUGAAAGUUUGCGGCUAAACCGUAAAAUUGCAGUUGAAACUGGCAGUCUUGAGUACAGUAGAGGUGGGCGGAAUUCGUGGUGUAGCGGUGAAAUGCUUAGAUAUCACGAAGAACUCCGAUUGCGAAGGCAGCUUACUGGACUGCAACUGACACUGAUGCUCGAAAGUGUGGGUAUCAAACAGGAUUAGAUACCCUGGUAGUC
rnacentral:rRNA from 1 species